AGAGUUUGAUUAUGGCUCAGGAUGAACGCUGGCGGCGUGCCUAACACAUGCAAGUCGAACGGAGAUAGCGGAAAGCUGCUUUCUACUAUCUUAGUGGCGGACGGGUGAGUAACGCGUGGGUAACCCUACCCUGUACAGGGGGAUAGCAGCUGGAAACGGCUGAUAAAACCGCAAUAAAACGGCAGUACCGCAUGGUACAACCGUCAAAUAUUUAUAGGUACAGGAGUCGGGCCCGCGUCUGAUUAGCCAGUUGGUGGGGUAAUGGCCUACCAAAGCGACGAUCAGUAGCCGGCCUGAGAGGGUGAACGGCCACAUUGGGACUGAGACACGGACCCAAACUCCUACGGGAGGCAGCAGGUGGGGAAUAUUGGACAAUGGGGGGAACCCUGAUCCAGCGACGCCGCCGUGAGUGAAGAAGUAUCUCGGUAUGUAAAGCUCUAUCAGCAGGGAAGAUGAUGACGGUACCUGACUAAGAAGCACCGGCUAAAUACGUGCCAGCAGCUGC
rnacentral:rRNA from 1 species